CCUUGCCGCCUGGGAUUUUAAACGCGAGCGCCAAAAGCGGAACUAAUGUGACGCAACGUUCUACACGGGUAAAUUAGUGCAGCGCACCCAAACACAUUAGGAACUUAAUCAUAUUCAGGGAUGCAAACAUCGCACUUUUUCACAUCAGUUUGGGUGACUUGGGUCUGAUUUUAAUUUCUCAAAGUCAUCUGAAGCAAUUCCAUAGCUUAAUGUUAUGAACAGAAGACUAUUUACAUCAUUAAAUUAAAGUUUACGGAAACCUUGUUUUCCCUCCUCUGCGGCUGUAAAUCAUUCUCCAUUCAGUAAAUAGCGCGCACCUCGUCCAUUUACAGCAGGAUGCAUGGCCUUCAGGGAGGCAGAUCACCUGAUAUUCAGAGGACUCCAGUCUCAGCUGUUCCUCUGUUUUCUCCGAAUCCCCAUGAAGGGUCGCUGGUUUAAUGUGUUCUUCGUGUCAGAUAUGAGCUUUCUGGAGCCCUGAGGGUCAUUACAGGCGUCUUACAUCAACAUUUACUGCUACAGUGUGAUGAAAACAGGACAGACGCUACAGAAUCCAUUCAUGCACCUGUUGACAAGAUCAGCUGCUCUUUCCAGCACAUGAAGGGUUAAAAGAUGCAUGUUUUGGCCCGUCAACACCUUCCUGAGUGAGUAAACACUCACUUUAGGAUCAAGAGUGUGGCGUGCCAAAAAUCUCAUUCACUAGAGAGGCAGUAAAUCUGUCUUACCUUCAGCCGCGGGACACAGAGACAGCAAGACGCCUGUCACACACACACACACACACACACACCUUACUGUGCUUGAAGAGCGUGUCAACACAAUGGAGAACUUAUGUGGAAAUAGCUGAAACUGAAAUCUUGAUUGACUGGAAUCCCUCCAGUGUUUCUCAGAGAGAGAGCAGUCCAAUCAAAUCAAACGGAGAGCACAUUUGUUUUUUAGUUUUUCUGUUUUUCACA